GCUACGAUGGCCGAGUGGUUAUGGCGUUGGAAUUGAAAUGCAAUGGGGAACUCCCAUCGCAGGUUCGAAUCCUGCUUGCAGUU